UUCAGGAGCAAACAGAGAGAAAAUCGUUCCUAUGUUCUCUUCUCUUUUUUUUUCUUCCGUUAGCAAGCUGGAGUAGAAAGCAAGUAUUUUCUGCUUCUGUUUGCUCCGGAGCAACUUCUGUGUACUAUAGAACAAACUUAUUAUACAAAACCAUCUGACAACGCUGCUCUAAAGUGAAAAGUGCUCUUCAAACAUCGAUGACAUCUUUUUUGUUUUUUUUUCCUGUUUUCUCUACCUAUCUGUUAUGUUUUUCAUCCUGCCAAGGAAUCCAAAAACAUCAGCUGUCUCCCGUUUCCCGAGAGUUCGCCGACCAGUGUUGCUUUCACACUGAAGAAAAAACUACAGUUUAACUUCACCAGGCACAAUCAUCAGAAUGAGAUGCAGGAAAAUAUUUUCAUUUUACCGUUCAGUAUGAGAAACAUUUUACAAAUGAUAAUCGUGUAUGCCCAAAAGGUAUUUGUGCGGAUCUGCGAAUUCGGUUUUUGUGGAAUAAUUCAACCAAGGAUUAUGAUGUAGCACCGGUGGAGAGUAAGUCCAAUCAUACGGCUUCAUCCCACCCCAGCAGCAGAUGAGCGCUGGCGAAUGUUCUCAGCCACCUGGAGAAGGAGGUUCAGCGCGGAAGAAAUGUUACUAGACAUCGCCGAUCUGGUGUCUGGCCUUUUUUGAUAAUUUCAUAGAGAUUGGGUGUGCAGAUGGGCGGUUGGAGUUCUGGGAGGAAACGACUGGUAACUUUAAGGGUAUAUAUGAAGCCGAAAACAUCCACAACAAUGGGGUAACUAACAUAAAGCUCGCCGGUGACAAAGUGAUAGUCGCACGGUUGAGUGGACGAAUCGAUUCUCUGAGACUAGAAACGUACACGCAAGGUUUGCGUUGGGAUUUACGUCUGCAUAUGGGCGAACCCACGUACGCACCGGUUCGGCAGGAAGCAUUAGUUUAUUUCAGCAAUCCGUCCACAGCGUUGCCAGCUCAGCAUAACGCAUCCGAGGAGGAGCUUCGAUGUAUUCUGGAGUUUCAUCAGCAGGGUUACCGGUGACAUGUUUGGCGGGCGGUACAGUCAUGAUUGGCAGCCAGGGCCACACUGUUAAAGUGUUCCGACUCUAUAG